UGCGAAUGUAGUAUGCUAGAACAGCAGCAGCGGCAGAUCCUGAUGAAACUCCAGGGUCAGGUGGGAUUAAAUCUUAUUAGCUCUAUUCUCCCUGUAUUUUUGUGUUAUUUUUCUUUUGAGAUUUAGGAGCACGGGCAGAUCUUGAUUAAACUAUAGAGCUAGGAGUUGCGUAAUUGGUUAGAGCUGAUUCAUCGAACGUACUCUGUACUUCAAUUGCAUUUGGGAUGGUUUGAACUUAUCCAAAUCAGUUACCACAAAGCACUGAAUGCUAGCAGAAUUAGCUUAUCUCUUAUUCUUUUGCUUCUUGAGGGCUUCACCUAGUUCUGAAGAACUGAACUAUUGAAUAAAGGUGCAUGCGUCAGUAUGGAGCAAACAAGCUCAUGGUUACAUAAUUCUUCUUCGCAAGUGGCAUGAAGUUCAAUGAUGCGUGUACUGCUUCUUCUAGUUGGCUUGGUAAUUGAGGAAUUGGUGAAGCAGCUUUAGUAUUAAAGUGUUUCUUUUCCAUAGACAUAUUCAUAUUGUA